rnacentral:tRNA from 1 species
GCUGCAGACUUCAGAUCAACACGAGACCUUCCCAAGCACGUGGGUUCGAUUCCA